UUAAAAAGCUCGUAGUCGGAUUUUGGCUGAGAACGGUCGGUCCGCCGUUAGGUGUGCACUGACUGGUCUCAGCUUCCUGGUGAGGAGGUGUGCUUCAUCGCCACUUAGUCACCGUGGUUACUUUGAAAAAAUUAGAGUGUUCAAAGCGGGCUUACGCUUGAAUAUAUUAGCAUGGAAUAACACCAUAGGACUCCUGUCCUAUUUCGUUGGUCUCGGGACGGGAGUAAUGAUUAAGAGGAACAGUUGGGGGCAUUCGUAUUUCAUUGUCAGAGGUGAAAUUCUUGGAUUUAUGAAAGACGAACUUCUGCGAAAGCAUUUGCCAAGGAUGUUUUCAUUGAUCAAGAACGAAAGUUGGGGGCUCGAAGAUGAUUAGAUACCAUCCUAGUCUCAACCAUAAACGAUGCCGACUAGGGAUUGGCGGAUGUUAAUUGAUGACUUCGCCAGCACCUUAUGAGAAAUCAAAGUUUUUGGGUUCCGGGGGGAGUAUGGUCGCAAGGCUGAAACUUAAAGGAAUUGACGGAAGGGCACCACCAGGCGUGGAGCCUGCGGCUUAAUUUGACUCAACACAGGGAAACUUACCAGGUCCAGACAUAGUAAGGAUUGACAGAUUGAGAGCUCU
rnacentral:rRNA from 1 species